rnacentral:rRNA from 1 species
UACGUAGGGGGCUAGCGUUGUCCGGAUUUAUUGGGCGUAAAGAGCGUGUAGGCGGCUUGGUAGGUCUUGCGUCAAAACCUGAGGCUCAACCUCAGUUCGCGUGGGAAACCAUCUAGCUAGAGUCCGGAAGAGGAGAACGGAAUUCCCAGUGUAGCGGUGAAAUGCGCAGAUAUUGGGAAGAACACCAGUGGCGAAGGCGGUUCUCUGGGACGGUACUGACGCUGAGACGCGAAAGCGUGGGGAGCGAACAGG